UACGUAGGUGGCGAGCGUUGUCCGGAUUUACUGGGCGUAAAGGGAGCGUAGGCGGACUUUUAAGUGAGAUGUGAAAUACUCGGGCUCAACUUGAGUGCUGCAUUUCAAACUGGAAGUCAAGAGUGCAGGAGAGGAGAAUGGAAUUCCUAGUGUAGCGGUGAAAUGCGUAGAGAUUAGGAAGAACACCAGUGGCGAAGGCGAUUCUCUGGACUGUAACUGACGCUGAGGCUCGAAAGCGUGGGGAGCAAACAGG
rnacentral:rRNA from 1 species